rnacentral:rRNA from 1 species
CUAUACAUGCAAGUCGAGCGGACAGAUGGGAGCUUGCUCCCUGAUGUUAGCGGCGGACGGGUGAGUAACACGUGGGUAACCUGCCUGUAAGACUGGGAUAACUCCGGGAAACCGGGGCUAAUACCGGAUGGUUGUCUGAACCGCAUGGUUCAGACAUAAAAGGUGGCUUCGGCUACCACUUACAGAUGGACCCGCGGCGCAUUAGCUAGUUGGUGAGGUAACGGCUCACCAAGGCGACGAUGCGUAGCCGACCUGAGAGGGUGAUCGGCCACACUGGGACUGAGACACGGCCCAGACUCCUACGGGAGGCAGCAGUAGGGAAUCUUCCGCAAUGGACGAAAGUCUGACGGAGCAACGCCGCGUGAGUGAUGAAGGUUUUCGGAUCGUAAAGCUCUGUUGUUAGGGAAGAACAAGUGCCGUUCAAAUAGGGCGGCACCUUGACGGUACCUAACCAGAAAGCCACGGCUAACUACGUGCCAGCAGCCGCGGUAAUACGUAGGUGGCAAGCGUUGUCCGGAAUUAUUGGGCGUAAAGGGCUCGCAGGCGGUUUCUUAAGUCUGAUGUGAAAGCCCCCGGCUCAACCGGGGAGGGUCAUUGGAAACUGGGGAACUUGAGUGCAGAAGAGGAGAGUGGAAUUCCACGUGUAGCGGUGAAAUGCGUAGAGAUGUGGAGGAACACCAGUGGCGAAGGCGACUCUCUGGUCUGUAACUGACGCUGAGGAGCGAAAGCGUGGGGAGCGAACAGGAUUAGAUACCCUGGUAGUCCACGCCGUAAACGAUGAGUGCUAAGUGUUAGGGGUUUCCGCCCCUUAGUGCUGCAGCUAACGCAUUAAGCACUCCGCCUGGGGAGUACGGUCGCAAGACUGAAACUCAAGGAAUUGACGGGGCCCGCACAAGCGGUGGAGCAUGUGGUUUAUCGAGCACGCGAGACCUUACC